ACCGGCCAGAGCAGCGGCGGGAAGAGCUGGAGGAGAGCGAGGGCUCGCUGACCGGAGCCGGGAGGACCCCGCACGGAGGCAGGCCGCGAGAUGGAGAAAUUAAUGAUUCUACUGCUCUGGUUACCAUAUGUGGUUAAGAUCUCAAAAAGUUUUCAUUAUGUACCGAUGAAUAAACAAACAACAAAAAUUCUUAUUGAAUGGGAUGAAUUUCCUAAAGGAGAGAGUCCUGAAUUUUAUUUUUUAAAAUACCAACUUGUUAAUAGUUUUGCUCAAAAAAAUAUCAAAAGCAUUCUCACAGACCCACAAAAACUUCCAAAAUCAGUAAUAACACUAGAAGAAAAUGAAGACUAUUACAUCAUUAUACAGUCCAUAAAAUAUGGACAAAUUUUGAGUGAAAAAUCAUUCCAAACCCGUGGAAUCUCAUCUAGAAAUAUUAAAACAAUAGCAACAAGUACGAGUGUUUCUUUUAACUGGAGUGAGCUAUCUUCUGGUGACAUUUCAAUGUCAAUAUCUCUUAAUAAUUCUUCACAAAUUAUGCAAAACAAUGUCACUGUUUAUGAGUGGGGCAGUUUGAAACCUGCCAGUUUGUAUUCUUUUACAUUUGAAUUCAAACAGUUACGCUUGGAUUUUAUAAAGGUAUUUCAGAGACUGGAUGUUCAAGUGGAAACAGGUUCAUGUUCACAAGGAUGGGUAGCAUUAAAAAAUAACUGUUAUAGAAUUAGUAAAGAAAGCGUGCCAUGGAAUGUAGCCCAGCAACGUUGUAAGUUAUCCUUAAGUUCUGCACACCUUGUGGAUAUAAAAAAUGAAGAGGAAAAACGCUUUAUAUUUUCACUUCUCAGGUCAAAGAAUCAAAUAAUAAUAUGGACUGGUCUUAAUGAUUUGAAGAAAGAAGGUCAUCUCACAUGGACAGAUGGAUCAUCUUUUGGCCUUAAGACGAAUGAAAUCAUUUCUUUUCCACUGCUACCCAAGAAUGAAACGGAUUGCUAUAUUUUACAGCAAAAUGCAACAGGAUCAAACUAUUUCUUUACACGAUUUUUCUGUUAUGUUCCAUUGCCAUAUAUUUGCGAAUAUGAACCACCUUUUCUACAGGAAGACUUUUUCUUCUAUGUAAAGGAUGUUGGAACAACUGAAGUUGUAUUUAGUUGGAAUAAUUUGAAUGGUUGGAAUAUUUUGAAUAAGUGGCUGAAACUGGGAUAUAAAAUUAUCAUUAAAUAUUAUUUAGACCACAAAGAAGAACAACAUUUUGAAAGCAUUCCCCCAAAUACUACAGAAAAAACAAUUACCCAGUUGUCUCCUGGCCAUAUUUACAGGUUUUCACUCUUUGCAAUAAAUGAAGGGGAGGCAAAAACUACUUUAAGUCCACUAUUCAUUGUUGAAACACGCCCAUUAUCAGCCCAGAAUUUCACAGUUACUCAUGUGAAGCCAACAGAAAUAUUUUUACACUGGGACCCUCCAGAUCCUGUAUCUUUUCACCAUUAUGUUGUGACUAUUUUGGAUGUUGAAAACAAUAAAUCAGAAGAGAUGUUUGUUGAAAAACUCAAUACAUCAACAGCAAUCGGAAAUCUCAGAUCUUUCCAUCGUUAUCUGAUAUAUCUAUUCAGUGUAGCAGAAAGAGGAACUUUAAGCUGCUUUGAGAAACCUAUUUCAGCCAUUACAGGUAUUAACCCACCCCAGAAAGUUUAUGCUAAACCUGAAGAUGUGGGAGAGAACAGUAUAAUAAUUCAGUGGGAACCCCCACAAGAUGGCCAUGAGGUCUACAUUCAAGUCAAAUCCAUAUCAGAUACAAGAGAAGUCAUGAAGCUUUUUGUAAAGGAUGCUAAUAGAUUCAAGAUUGAUAAUUUAAUCCCUGGGAUGACAUAUGACAUUGGAGUGGCAACAGUGAUGAAUGGGAACUUGAGUGAGCUGGUAACUGUUCAACAAACUCUAAGAGCAGAGGGGUGGCCUUGAGGAGCUAUGAGCAUCCAUAGCAGGAAGGAAAGCUGUUUCAGCUGUCUGUGAGGUCUCUUUUAGUUGGAGGAAUUAAUUAUACCCAAGUUUUUUUGAGAGAAGAGGAGCUGUAUGAGAACUGGUGUUUGAAUUUUCUUUUUUCCUCUUUGUAUAGCAGAAUAAAUUUUAAGAUAUAGUGGGCAUCCCUGAGAUCUCAUUCUACCUUGCCUGUAAUAAAAGCCUUUGAAUUUGA
ensembl:lncRNA